rnacentral:rRNA from 1 species
AGCAGCCGCGGUAAUUCCAGCUCCAAUAGCGUAUAUUAAAGUUGUUGCAGUUAAAAAGCUCGUAGUUGAAUUUCGGGAUCAAUACGUCGGUCGUGCUUCGGUACGUACUGGCGUAAUUGAUUUCUCCCUUCUGACGAACCAUGAUGUCAUUAACUUGGUGUCAUGGGAAAUCAGGACUGUUACUUUGAAAAAAUUAGAGUGUUUAAAGCAAGCUUACGCUUGAAUACAUUAGCAUGGAAUAAUGAAAUAGGACGUUUGAUCCUAUUUUGUUGGUUUCUAGGAUCGACGUAAUGAUUAAUAGGGAUAGUUGGGGGCAUUAGUAUUCAAUUGUCAGAGGUGAAAUUCUUGGAUUUAUUGAAGACUAACUACUGCGAAAGCAUUUGCCAAGGAUGUUUUCAUUAAUCAAGAACGAAAGUUAGGGGAUCGAAGACGAUCAGAUACCGUCGUAGUCUUAAC